rnacentral:rRNA from 1 species
UAAGCCUACGGGGGGCAGCAGUGAGGAAUAUUGGUCAAUGGGCGAGAGCCUGAACCAGCCAAGUCGCGUGAGGGAAGACGGUCCUAUGGAUUGUAAACCUCUUUUGCCGGGGAGCAAAAAGCGGUACGUGUACCGCAUCGAGAGUACCCGGAGAAAAAGCAUCGGCUAACUCCGUGCCAGCAGCCGCGGUAAUACGGAGGAUGCGAGCGUUAUCCGGAAUGAUUGGGCGUAAAGGGUGCGUAGGCGGCCUGCUAAGUCUGGAGUGAAAGGUACCGGCUCAACCGGUACAGGCUCUGGAAACUGGC